AGUGAACGCUGGCGGUAGGCCUAACACAUGCAAGUCGAACGGCAGCACAGUAAGAGCUUGCUCUUACGGGUGGCGAGUGGCGGACGGGUGAGGAAUACAUCGGAAUCUACUUUUUCGUGGGGGAUAACGUAGGGAAACUUACGCUAAUACCGCAUACGACCUACGGGUGAAAGCAGGGGAUCUUCGGACCUUGCGCGAUUGAAUGAGCCGAUGUCGGAUUAGCUAGUUGGCGGGGUAAAGGCCCACCAAGGCGACGAUCCGUAGCUGGUCUGAGAGGAUGAUUCGGCACACUGGAACUGAGACCCGGUCCCGACUCCUACGGGAGGCAGCAGUGGGGAAUAUUGGACAAUGGGGGGAAGCCUGAUCCAGCCAUACCGCGUGGGUGAAGAAGGCCUUCGGGUUGUAAAGCCCUUUUGUUGGGAAAGAAAAGCAGCAGGUUAAUACCCCGCUGUUCUGACGGUACCCAAAGAAUAAGCACCGGCUAACUUCGUG
rnacentral:rRNA from 1 species